AUACGAAGGGUGCAAGCGUUAAUCGGAAUUACUGGGCGUAAAGCGCGCGUAGGUGGUUUUGUAAGUUGGAGGUGAAAGCCCCGGGCUCAACCUGGGAAUUGCCUCCAAAACUGCAUGACUAGAGUACGGUAGAGGGUAGUGGAAUUUCCUGUGUAGCGGUGAAAUGCGUAGAUAUAGGAAGGAACACCAGUGGCGAAGGCGACUACCUGGACUGAUACUGACACUGAGGUGCGAAAGCGUGGGGAGCAAACAGGAUUAGAUACCCUGUAGUCCACGCCGUAAACGAUGUCAACUAGCCGUUGGGAUCCUUGAGAUCUUAGUGGCGCAGCUAACGCAUUAAGUUGACCGCCUGGGGAGUACGGCCGCAAGGUUAAAACUCAAAGGAAUUGACGGGG
rnacentral:rRNA from 1 species